CUCUUCCUCUCCUUCUUCCCAGUGUGGCCGCUGCUGAAACUAAAGACUUUGUAGCCAUCAACCCAAGUGCAGUUUCGAUGGAAGAUGAAGGUUGCACGUUUUCAAAAAAUUUCUAAUGCUGAAAAUGAGACAAUGAUUCCAGUAUUAACAUCAAAAAAAAAGCAAGUGAAUUACCAGUCAGUGAAGUUGCAGGCAUUCUCCAAGCUGAUCUUCAGAAUGGUCUAAACAAAUGUGAAGUAAGUCAUAGGAGAGCCUUCCAUGGCUGGAAUGAGUUUGAUAUCAGUGAAGAUGAGCCACUGUGGAAGAAGUAUAUUUCUCAGUUUAAAAAUCCCCUUAUUAUGCUGCUUCUGGCUUCUGCAGUCAUCAGUGUUUUAAUGCAUCAGUUUGAUGAUGCUGUCAGUAUCACUGUGGCAAUACUUAUCGUUGUUACGGUCGCCUUUGUUCCGGAAUAUCGUUCAGAAAAAUCUCUUGAAGAACUAAAUAAACUUAUGCCACCAGAAUGCCAUUGUGUGCGUGAAGGAAAAUUGGAGCAUACACUUGCACGAGACUUAGUUCCAGGUGAUACAGUUUGCCUUUCAGUUGGUGACAGGGUUCCUGCUGACUUGCGCUUGUUUGAGGCUGUGGAUCUUUCUGUUGAUGAGUCCAGCUUGACAGGAGAGACAACACCUUGUUCUAAGGUGACAGCUCCUCAGCCGGCUGCUACUAAUGGAGAUCUUGCAUCAAGGAAUAACAUUGCCUUCGUGGGAACACUGGUCAGAUGUGGCAAAGCAAAGGGUAUUGUUACUGGAACAGGAGAAAAUUCUGAAUUUGGAGAAGUUUUUUAAAAUGAUGCAAGCAGAAGAAGCACCAAAAACCCCUCUGCAGAAGAGCAUGGACCUUUUAGGAAAACAACUUUCCUUUUACUCCUUUGGUAUAAUAGGUAUCAUCAUGUUGGUUGGCUGGUUACUAGGAAAAGACAUACUGGAAAUGUUCACUAUAGUGUAAGUUUGGCUGUAGCAGCAAUUCCUGAAGGUCUUCCCAUUGUGGUCACAGUGACUCUAGCCCUUGGUGUUAUGAGAAUGGUGAAGAAGAGGGCGAUUGUGAAAAAACUACCUAUUGUUGAAACUCUGGGUUGCUGUAAUGUGAUUUGUUCAGAUAAGACUGGAACACUGACCAAGAAUGAAAUGACUGUUACCCACAUGUUUACUUCCGAUGGCCUGCGUGCUGAGGUUACUGGAGUUGGCUACAAUCCAUUUGGGGAAGUGAUUGUUGAUGGUGAUGUUGUCCAUGGAUUCUAUAACCUAUCUGUUAGCAGAAUUGUUGAGGCUGGCUGUGUGUGCAAUGAUGCUGUAAUUAGAAAUAACACUCUAAUGGGGAAACCAACGGAAGGAGCCUUAAUUGCUCUUGCAAUGAAGAUGGGUCUUGAUGGACUGCAACAGGAUUAUAUCAGAAAAGCCGAAUACCCUUUUAGCUCUGAGCAGAAGUGGAUGGCUGUUAAGUGUGUGCACCGAACACAACAGGACAGACCAGAGAUUUGUUAUAUGAAGGGUGCUUAUGAACAGGUGAUUAAGUAUUGUACUACGUAUCACAGCAAAGGGCAGACCUUGGCACUCACCCAGCAUCAGAGAGAUCUGUACCAGCAGGAGAAGGCCCAGAUGGGCUCUGCAGGGCUCAGAGUUCUUGCUUUGGCUUCUGGUCCUGAAUUGGGACAACUGACGUUCCUUGGUCUGGUGGGAAUCAUUGAUCCUCCUAGAACUGGUGUGAAAGAAGCUAUUACAACACUCAUUGCCUCGGGAGUGUCAAUAAAAAUGAUUACUGGAGACUCACAGGAGACUGCAGUUGCCAUCGCUCGUCGUCUGGGAUUAUAUUCCAAAACCUCCCAGUCAGUCUUAGGAGAAGAAAUAGAUGCAAUGGAUGUCCAGCAACUUUCACAAAUAGUGCCAAAGGUUGCAGUGUUUUACAGAGCUAGCCCAAGGCAUAAGAUGAAAAUUAUCAAGUCUCUGCAGAAGAACGGGUCGGUUGUGGCCAUGACAGGAGAUGGAGUAAAUGAUGCAGUUGCUCUGAAGGCUGCAGACAUUGGAGUUGCAAUGGGUCAGACUGGCACAGAUGUUUGCAAAGAGGCAGCUGACAUGAUCCUGGUGGAUGAUGAUUUCCAAACCAUCAUGUCUGCAGUUGAAGAGGGUAAAGGGAUUUAUAAUAACAUUAAAAAUUUUGUUAGAUUCCAGCUGAGCAUGAGUAUAGCAGCAUUAACUUUAAUCUCACUGGCUACAUUAAUGAACUUUCCCAAUCCUCUCAAUGCCAUGCAGAUUUUGUGGAUCAAUAUUAUUAUGGAUGGACCUCCAGCUCAGAGCCUUGGAGUAGGACCAGUGGAUAAAGAUGUCAUUCGUAAACCUCCACGCAACUGGAAAGACAGCAUUUUGACCAAAAACCUGAUACUUAAAAUACUUGUUUCCUCAAUAAUCAUUGUUUGUGGGACUUUGUUUGUCUUCUGGCGGGAGCUGCGAGACAAUGUGAUAACACCUUGGGACACAACAAUGACUUUCACGUGCUUUGUGUUUUUUGACAUGUUCAAUGCACUGAGUUCCAGAUCGCAGACCAAAUCUGUGUUUGAGAUUGGACUCUGAAGUAAUAAAAUGUUUUGCUAUGCAGUUCUUGGAUCCAUCAUGGGACAGUUAUUAGUUAUUUACUUUCCUCCACUUCAGAAAGUUUUUCAGACUGAGAGCCUAAGUAUACUGGACUUACUGUUUCUUCUGGGUCUCACCUCGUCGGUGUGCAUAGUGGCAGAAAUCAUCAAGAAGGUUGAGAGGAGCAGAGAGAA